rnacentral:rRNA from 1 species
UUUUUGGAGAGUUUGAUCCUGGCUCAGGAUGAACGCUUGCGGUGUGCCUAAUGCAUGCAAGUCAAACGGUUUUCCUUUAGAGAGCAAUCUUUGGAGGGAAACAGUGGCGAACGGGUGAGUAACGCGUAAGUAACCUGCCCUCAAGUGGGGAAUAACCCCGAGAAAUCGGGGCUAAUACCGCAUACGGUGGUCGUGGGAAGAUCAUGAUCACCAAAGGGUCCGCAAGGACUCGCUGGAGGAGGGGCUUGCGUCCGAUUAGCUAGUUGGUGGGGUAACGGCCUACCAAGGCAGUGAUCGGUAGCUGGUCUGAGAGGACGAUCAGCCACACUGGGACUGCGACACGGCCCAGACUCCUACGGGAGGCAGCAGCAAG